rnacentral:rRNA from 1 species
GACGAACGCUGGCGGCGUGCCUAAUACAUGCAAGUCGAACGCUUUUUCUUUCACCGGAGCUUGCUCCACCGAAAGAAAAAGAGUGGCGAACGGGUGAGUAACACGUGGGUAACCUGCCCAUCAGAAGGGGAUAACACUUGGAAACAGGUGCUAAUACCGUAUAACAAUUGAAACCGCAUGGUUUCGAUUUGAAAGGCGCUUUUGCGUCACUGAUGGAUGGACCCGCGGUGGCUUAGCUAGUUGGUGAGGUAACGGCGCACCAAGGCAACGAUGCAUAGCCGACCUGAGAGGGUGAUCGGCCACAUUGGGACUGAGACACGGCCCAAACUCCUACGGGAGGUAGCAGUAGGGAAUCUUCGGCAAUGGACGAAAGUCUGACCGAGCAACGCCGCGUGAGUGAAGAAGGUUUUCGGAUCGUAAAACUCUGUUGUUAGAGAAGAACAAGGAUGAGAGUAAAAUGUUCAUCCCUUGACGGUAUCUAACCAGAAAGCCACGGCUAACUACGUGCCAGCCGCCGCAGUAA